UCCCAGAGGCUGUGAGAGACUCCUGGCUCAGCUGGGCACGACCAUAGCUGCAGCCAGGCAGGGAGCAGAGCGGGGCAGGGAGAGCCGCCGCCACACACGGGAGCCCCAGUCUGGGCUCCUCCUCGUCCUCCCGGCCGCAGCUUCCCCGGGAUGUGAAGGAAAGGCACCCUCCACUCUGCCGCCGCCCGCCUCGCUGCCCCGGCAGCCGCGUGUGCCUGCACCGCCCCCGCUCCCACCUCGGCCCCACGCAGCUCCACUGCUGAGCCCCGGCCCUGCACCACUGCCUCCGCCUGCUUUCAAGGAUGCCUGGUUGGCUGAUCUCAUACCGUGGGCUUUAAACUAGCUUUGCUGCGGGAAGGGGCCCGUUUGAGUGGAGAGGAUGCUUCACCAGCACGCAGGGUGACAAGAGGAAGGGAAGCCCAGGAAAAAGGCACAUCCAGAGCUUCAUUACUUCCACUGCUUCUGCUAACUAGAUCAUCAUCCUAAAUCCUGUCUGCUGAACCAGUGAAAGGAGACUUCCAAUCUGGAAGGGAGGAAUAAGUAGAUACUUAAAGAAGACCACUGAGUGAAGGCCCAGGAGGAAUUAUGGGAAGGAUUUGGAAGACUAACAGCUUUCAGUCUUUAAAUCAGUUGAGAUCUGGAUUAUGCUCAGGUUGUGCUAAGCAACUCCAUCAUUCACAAGUGAGAGGGGUUUAGUGCGGGGAUGAUGGAUUGUGUUAACAGGAAGAAUUACUGUAGUAAUUCUGUAGUGAAGACAAGUUCUAUGAGAACACUCAUAAGCCAUGGCCUGGGUCCUAGAAUGCGCUCAAUGCCAUACAUUCCCCAGGGUUGCUGUGGGAGUGGUUGUUGCCAACUCUGAGCUUUCACACACUAUUAGUCAGGCCUAAUACAAAUCCUGAGAUCAGCUUAAAAAUAAUGAGUAACUUAAACAUGAAAACCGAGAUCACUUUUGCUUCCUGAUUUUGAGAAUUUUGGGGUCAUUUUUCCAGUUUUUCUCUACCAACAUGAACCUAAAGACUUCCGUUUCUUUUUAAACAAAAUCUUAGCAACAUGAGAGGUAUAUUUUACGAAUAUCUUAUCAAGCCAGCGGUAUAAACCAACAGAAGACUUGGACUGUAAGGGUCGAGUUGCUUCUGCCCACUUGGGUAGGAGUCAGGAAGGCAGAGCAUCAGUCUCGUAGCACUUUGUCACUCUGUUCCAUUGUUGGUGACUUCAAUUACAGUAACACUCGCCUGGGGACAGAGCAUCUUCAUUUAGCCCAAAGCAGGCUCUGCAGAAAGAUAGCAUUAGUUACCCAGCAUGAAAUUAUGUUUUAAAACAGCACAGAAGUAGCCCAGAUCAAGUGGGGCUCUAAGGCCAUUUGUGUGCCCUUAAACUCUGCCCUGGUCAGACACUUGGGAACCCCGUACGUGCUCUAAAUUGCGAGUCAUACCUAGAUUUCCCUGUAUGCCCUGCUUGCUGACAGCCUUACACUCGUACCUGCUACCCCUGUUAUUCCAGAGAAUAAGAAACCCACAGUACUUAACCUGGUGUAAUUCAGUACUUGCACUGGAAAAUGAUCCUAGCUUUUUGCUGACAAUAGGGCUAGAGAGCAGAAUCCCUCCCCUACUGUUUGUAGAGGGCUCUGAAAAAAUGGUGUGCUCCACAGCAUUGUUACAUUAGAGGUAAGAGACCUGAUGACCCUGAAGAACCUAAUCCUACACAUCUAUUUACAGAGUAAACUGGGCUGUUCCUGGAUUAUAUGGAGGUCUCAUUUCCACUCAUGUCUCUGGGGAAGAGGCAGGAAGUUACUUUACAAAGAUUACUGAAACACGAGCUAGAGAAAAGCAGAUUUUUUCAGAGUGGUGGGACUUUUUUUGGAGGUUGAUGGGAAGGCAAAAAGGAAUAAAGUUUUAAAAGCCUUACAUCUCUUAAACCAGGAUUAGCAUUUUAGAAACAUCACAAAAUGAACAUGGGUAUAGGAGGCCAAGAGUGUCACAAAUGAUAGACUCAUAUCAAGCUCUUAAGUCUACAUGUAAGCCCCUAGACAGGCAGCCUCAAAAUGAAGAGCCCUGAACCACAGACUUUUGAGUGUUCCCAUCACAAGUACUGGGCCUGUGUAAGUAGGCAGCUAUUCAAUCCAGCUUAGCAUCUGGCCGAUUCGGAUGCCAGUGAUCUGAGCUCCGGAUUGGUUUCCUGCUUUGAACCAGUUGAAGAAUUUGGGAUGUAGUUCCCCCCAAGCCCCUGCACCUAUCUUGAAACUUGGCAGGUUUCAUGGCAUCACCAGGGGCUACCAUCCAUGCAGUUUUCACCCCACUGUGGUGUAACACAUCCUUGUAACGUGAGUUUUGCUUUCAAGAAUUUAGGGUGCAGUUCCCCCCAAACCCCUCCACCCAUCUCCUUGAAACUUGGCAGGCUUUGAGGCCUCAGUAAGGGCCACCACCCUUGCAGUUUUCACCCCUCUGUGGUGUAAUACAUACAUCUAAAUCAGACAAAAUUCAACAAAGUUAUAGAUAUUUGAUUGAUUCCCCAUUAUACCCUAUGGCUGGAUCUCCUAGGCGGCUUCAAAGUGGCUCAGAAGCUCCGAACCACUUCGGAAAGCCUAAAGAAGCCAGCGUUUCGAUCCAGACAUGCUGCUUCAGACGCCGAAGAAUCCAAAACUUCUCCAGAUCCGAAGCCUCGCACAGCCCUAACAAGUACCAAAGAGAGUUCCUGUAAUGGCUCCACUGCAUACUAUGCCUCUGCAACUUCAUGGCAUCUCUCUGUUCAGAGGAUCCACUUUGCUUCCAAGCAUUUAAAAAUGAUUACUGAUAAAUACUGUGAUACUUGUA